AUGCUCGGUUUGAGUGAUCCAGACUCUGCUCGCGGUGCCAGUGGCGUUGGUUGCUGGUCUUGUCUUUGCUUUCCUCAGCUGUCUACAUAUUUGAGCCUGUGGAACAUCACAUAUGAUGUCAUUUUUCCAGGAGCAGUAAUUGCCAAGUGCACUUAAAAUUGCAAGGCUGUAGUUCCCAGUGUGCAGAUUUUGGUCCUUAACCUGGAUAAAGGUGGUCUGGCAUAAUGUGCUGGAUAUUGCAAUCUCACCCUUCUUCAGAAGUUUUGGGAAGUGCUGUGGAUUCAUCAGAAUCAGUUUGGAAAAAUAUUAACCGCAUUUCAGAACUAAAAAAUCUGCUUUGAAAGCUAAGGGGAUUCUUAAAAUGACAUCAUGUACAUCAUAUACAAGUAAAUGUGUCUUCAGUUUCAUAUGAUUUUCGACAUGCAAUUGCGGCAUAUUUGAAACCUACUUGUUUAAAUUGAGGGCUUUUUUAUAUAUAAUUUCAUAAUUUUUCAUCAUGCCAAAGUACGGAGUACUUAUCUUGGCAAUAUAAAUAGAGUUGUACUGAUCACUUGUAAUGUAGGAUAAGAUUUUUUUAUUAUUAUUAUUUAAUCUUUUUGUAAUACAGAAGUUGUAAAUUGACUAAUGAAUAUGUAAGGCUUACUAAGAUAUUAAUAGUAAUAGAUAUGAUAAAUAUAAUAAUAUAGGCAGUAAUAAUAAAAUAACAUCUAACAAUUUAUACUGAUUUAUA
ensembl:lncRNA